UAUGGGCCCUGCACUGAAAGCAGCCCAACACACAUUUGUUUCCUGUGGGUAGUGGACAGAAACAAUCUGUGGAUGGGGCAUAGAACAAUUACAUCAUCAUUUUAUAUUCAUAAUUAUUUAUAUUUUCCAGAGGUCCUUGAAACCAUUAUGCUGGUGCAAAUUCUGGCUUUGAAUGAGUGGGAACGAGGGAUGGAUAGUUCAGUCUAUUUCCGUUCCAUGUGAGUGUUGCAUGCAUACAGUCACAAGUCAGUUCUGUCCUGUUUUCUGCAGAUUUCACACAAAAGUCACAGGAAAAUUGUACAUAUUAUGUAUGCACUUCUGUUCCAAAUUUGGGUUUUGUGUGCAUUUCCUCCAAAUAUAUAAUUUUUGAAUGCUUUUCUAUGUACUUCCUUUCCCCAAAUACACUUUCCCUCCCUGCAAAAUCUACACUAUUUUGUAUUCAUUUUUGGAACCGAAAGUGCAUCAUGGAAUUUUAUAGAGACACAUGCAAUACAAUUGCUAACUGCAAUCCAGUACACAUAUACUGUAAAUCUGGGAAAUGCAGAUUAGGUUGAUUUGCUUUAAAAUGCGGACUGAACAAAGUUACCCUCCGUCCUUUGUGAGGACCCAGCACACAAUACUUCAUUUUCCAGGACCAGAAAUUUCUUCCCUUGGCCAGCAGCAACACAAGACUAGGCUGCUAUUCUUUUCCAGCAGCUUAAUGAACAGCUGUUUAACUUAAUGGCCAAUAUGUGAAGUCUAUCUCUAGUAAUGGAAUUAGAAGCAGACAAAUAGUUGCUCCUGAAGAAUGAAUGAUGGGCCUUUAGAAAAGGACAUCUGAAGGUCAAGGAUUCAAUUCUGGUUUAUAUAGCAGGAUGUUUUAUUACCCACAUGACUGAUGUCAUUAUUUUUUAAAAAAUUUAAAUAGCUGCUUUGUUUUUCAGUUGUUUCUAGGUAAGAGAUAAGAAGUGGCUUUGCUCAUCUGAACUCUGCACAAUGGUAUUGCCUGUUGUCAAUUUUUAUUUUUAUCCUGGUGGUAAUCUUCGUAGGGUUCCAGGGUGGCUGUCCAUAGGCACUGCAGUUGAAUUCAUUCGGUUCAUUGAAUAAGCCAAUGCACCUCUGCAGCUGCACACCAGCAACUUUGAAAUCUUGGGUUAAAUAAAACAAAACUUAGGGCUUAUCCACACUUCCUCUUGUCCCACUGCUUUCUCCUGGGGAAAGUGCUCUUUAGCACUCAGUCAGAUAAAACAGCAAUUGGGUUUUCCAUGGAUUGUCAUUUGUUCUGAUCAGCUCUGAGUGCUCACUGGAAGGACAGAUCCUGAAGCUGAGGCUCCAAUACUUUGGCCACCUCAUGAGAAGAGAAGGCUCCCUGGAAAAAACCCUGAUGUUGGGAAAGAUGGAGGGCACAAGGAGAAGGGGACGACAGAGGACGAGAUGGUUGGACAGUGUUGUCGAAGCUACCAGCAUGAGUUUGACCAAACUGCGGGAGGCAGUGGAAGACAGGGGUGCCUGGCGUGCUCUGGUCCAUGGGGUCACGCAGAGUCGGACAUGACUAAACGACUAAACAACAACAAGAGCUAGCAAGCAGGUCUCCCUUGGGAAUGGAGUGGGGCAAGGGGGAAACCACUCAGAACUGUGCCUAGAAAGUGUGGGUCAGGCGAAAAACUGCUCUGACCUGUGCUUUUUAGGCGCGGGACAAGUGGAAGUGUGGAUGAGCCCUUACAAUAGUUGGCAUUUACUCAGAGUAGUCCCAUGGAAAGUAACGAACAUGACUAAGGCUGCAGUCCUAUAGCCACUCUCUCUUACCUGAGAUUAAGCCCCAUUAAAUUCAGUGGGGCUUACAUUUGAAAACAGGUGUAUAGGAUUGCGUUGUACGUUAGGGCUGCUAAUUUCAAUGGGUCUACUUUGAGUAAAACUUUGCUGACUGCCACCCACUGAUCUUGAAAAUCUUGAGGAGCUUAAGAAAUAGCUGGUGAUUUUUUAAUAAUUUGAACUUGCUUCCUAGUAGCUGAGUCUCUGGUUAUCUUUGGCCACAAAACCAGUUUGAAUCCCUUUUGAGGAGCAUGCAAUAAAUUAGCUUUAUAUUUAUAUGGCGAUUUCAGUUACCCCCUUCUAGUGCCUACUGACUGGUCAAGGAGGCUUGCAACGAUUAAAAUUCAUGCCAUGAAAUAGAAUAAAAACAUAAUAAAAACAAAUGUAUUGUAAAUACAUCAAAAUAUUGGGUCCACUUUGAUUUCCUGUUUCCGACCUUCAGAGUGCAGAAAUAAAAUUCAGAUUGUCCCAGUCCAUUUAGAACACAGGAAAGGCCCUAGAAGAUCUAAACGAAAACUUUAUUAUUAUGUAGGCUUGUAUGAGGCCUUCACAAAAUUUUCUCCACUUCACAUUGUAGGGGAAAGUUAUUUUUCAGUGGGUUGAGGGGGGUGCAUGCACUUUAAUAUAUUAUGUUCACAGAGCAAUGAUUUGCAGGCCAAGUACUAUCCAGUGGGAUUAACCUUAGGAGUGGCCUGUAGUAUGAGUCAGUAGAGAUUCUCAUGGGAAUCACAGCUGUGUUAGGGUUCUGGAAACAGCACAGGGUCUGGACAGUUGGACAGCCCUUCAAGAGUAUAAAUGCUUCUUUGUUUUAUCCUCAUAAUCAUCUCCUGAUUGCUGGGAGGAGCCCCUUCAGUCUUUCUCAUCAGAUUCCUUCCCACAGUAGUAAUAUUAUCUUUCCAAGGAAUAUUAGUAAGUGAGAAACAAAUGUAAACAGCAUAUUUAACUAGUAACCAAGGGCUGUUUUAUUAAUUUCUGUGCUCUUAUUGUACAGGAGCAGCAGGGAUAAAGGAUGCAGAAGGAGUCCAGUUGAAAUGUGGGCCUUCUUCCACUAAGGAGGAAAGGGAGUUCUUAGGUUGGAACUAGGCAUCACAGCAGGUACCACCCAAAUAGCAGCCCUAUGCCUCUUUCCCCUUCUUCCCAUAAUGUCUAGCUUGGAACUCUUCAAAUGGGAAGGUCAUGUAGCAUUAUCAUGCUGCAGGCUUCCCAGAAGAACCCUACUGGAUCAGGAGAAAGGCCCAUUUAUCCCAGAAUCCUGUUCUCACAUUUGCCUACCAGAUGCCUUCAGCACUCUUCACACUUGUAUUUUCCUGCAACUGGCAGUUAGUGGCGUACUGCCGCCGACAAUGGAGGUGGAACAGAACCAUUGUGACUGGUUGCCAUUGGUAGCCUUUUCUUCCAUGGGUUCGUCUGAUCCUCUUUUAAAGCCACCCAAAUUGGAGGCCAUCAUUGCCUUUUGAGAGAGCAAAUCCCAUAAUUUAAACAAUAAGCUCCAUGCACUCAAAUAAUGGCUACACACACACCAUCAAUUUAAAGCACAUGGCGCGCCCCCUCAAAACAAUCCUGUGAACUGUAGUUUGUUAAGGGUGCUGGGAAUUUUAUUUGUGUGAGGAAGAAGCUACAGUUCCCAGAAUUUUUGUGAGGGAAGUAAUGUGCUUCAAAUGGAUGCAGCCAGUUUGUUCACUGUUAAUGUAUAGGAUGGUAUUCUGCUCUGUGGGUUUACACAAUGGCACUGCAGGAUACAUUGAUAGGCAUUGUGUUAUAUGACAAAUACCCGCUCCCAAACAGUUGAUAGUAGUAGAAAGAGAGCACUGACUCCAUCAAGAUUCCUCGCAGGUUUAAAAUGUGACACACACUUAUGCAGCUUGCCGAUUCAGGGGCACAACUUGUUUUUGCAGCCUGUGGAAAUGUUGUCUAACUCCCAGACUAAAAAUUAAGAGCUGUGGGAUAACAACUAUGCCAUGAAAAUGUCCUAGCUUAUUAAAGACUUGAAGAUGAUAGCAUGCUUUUAAUGUUUCACAUAAGUCAUUUGGGAUUUGAAGAACUUUCAGCGCUUGCAAAGAAGUCAGAAUAAAUGCUUACAUGGGUAAAGGGGGGGGGGGAGGAGGGAGACAACAAUGCUGAAUUAAAUUUUCUGAGCAUGGCAUUCCUACAUGUUGCUCCAUUCCAAACUGGGUAGGGUGGGGGGACAACAUCAGCUUUGUUCAUGAGCAUACGCUUUUGACAUUUUUUCCCCCUUCUUGAAGCCUGUGAAUUAUUAAUGAACUAAUUUCUCUUUAUAGUUCAAUCUUUGGAGAUUUAAAAUGCUCACUCAAAUGCAUCGAGAAGGGAAAUGCUUCAGCUCCAAUCAGCUCCUGUCUUCAGGAGAGAUGUUGGCCUUGAGGUAUCUUGGAGUCUUUGAAAACCAUCUUUUAUUCAACCGGGAAUUUUUGAUGGCUUGGAGGUGUAGUCUGUUAAUUCUACCUAAUGCCCUGUUUAUGUUCGGGCCAUUUUUCAAUCAUUAUGAGUUCUUGCCCUCUUCUUUUUUAAAAAAACUUUGCUCAUGAGCUAAAUGCAUUUUCCUUUCCUUUUCCCCAACCCUUUAAGUCACCACGAUUUAAACUAACAUUAUAUUUCAGAAUGUUUGAGAUACCUUGGAUCCUGUCCUGAGAACCACCAUCUUCUGGCUGCUUUCUUUUUUGCAAUAGUGAUCAAAUCAGAGACAUGACAGCAAACUAUUGUUUGAGCAGUGAUUGUAGUCAGAAAUUAAAUUCCAUGCUUUAUAGGACCAAGGAAGUAAUGGGAGGGAGAAGAGGGAGCAGGUUUUUGGACUACAGCUCCCAUUAUUCCUGGUCAUUGGUCAAGCCAGAUGGGGCUGAAGCUGGGCAAAGCUAGACAUUUGUGCCCAUUGAAGAAAUAUUAAUUGUCCAUUAGUAUGGAAAUACAAUUAGUAAGGAAAUACAAGAGUCACUUGCCAACCAUUUUGAUACCCUUGAACAUUUUUGAUCCUGUUCUCUGUACCACUUGUGGAUGGGUAUGCUGAAUUUCACCUAUUCCUUAGUAUUUAUAUAGACAUUAUGUGGAAUGCAACAUUGUUCCAUCAGUGCAAAUAUUUCUGCUUGCACAACAGAACGUUCCCCUCCCCUUGCUUCCCUCCCCUCCCCUCCCCAGGUACCCCCUAAUUCUGUUCUACGCGUUCUCCCAACCCUUUGGAGCAGGGUGAGUGUGGGGUGUGUGCAGGGUGGGGAGUGGGGAGAGAAUGUCCCAUUGCACAAGUGGAAAUCCUUGCCCUGAUGGAACUUGUUAGUAGAAUAUCGCCCAAUAGAUUUAUAUAAAACCAUUCUUGGUUUUUUUUAUAUAUAUUAAUACUUUUCCUUUUUUUAAAAAAAAACCCUCUGGGAUUAACACUGCCACAAUCAUAAUGAUCUGUUUGCUUACCGCUGCUGCUGUUUUUAAUGGCUUUAGCGCUGAGCUGACAUUUUUAGGAAGAAUGAUCUCUGCAACUCUUCACAAUAUGGGUUGAAAGCUACAAAACCACAUUUUACCAAAGACCUCAUGCUUGCCUCGUGUGCAUGAAAUUAAAGCACUAUACAAUGCAGCAACAUGGUUUGAUCUUUUCUUUCCCUUGCUUGAAAAACAUGCC